rnacentral:lncRNA from 1 species
AAACAUUAUAAACAUUCAUAUUCUUGAACAUUAUAAAAUUCAAGAAUAGUUUGAACAGUGCUUACCUCCUUCUGAUCAUGUAAUUUAUGUAUGGAGUGAACAUAUUUCUUAUGCCUUGGCGAACUGUCAUACUCCUUUCUAAGUCUGAUCAGCUUCCAACAUUUUAUCCUUUGCACGUUCAAUGUUGUGAAAUAUCUUUAAUGUUUUUUGUUGGCAUCACUUCCUCUGAGACAUCUUCAUCCUUUUUAUUAUAACCACUUUCCUCAUUUAUGUUGAUAAGCUUGCCUUCACUAAGCUCCUCUGGCUGCAUAUGCAGUCAUGUGGCAUGUCUACACUUGAAGGUUAGCUAUUUAUUUUACAACUCCAUUUACAUUCAGUUCAAAUUUCACUUCUAGUGUUAUUAAUUUUUCUUUGCUGCACUUUCAUCUUUGUUGGCCAAUCCCCAUAUUGUUUUUUAAGUGUAACCUGAGUGGGUAUGUCUCUGAGAGAUAAAAAGGCAACACCACCACUGUACACGGUCAUCUAUGCAUGAAUUGAAAAAUAGAUACAGGGACGCCUGGGGGGUUCAGCAGUUGGGCAUCUGCCUUCCACUCAAGGCGUGAUCCUGGAGUCCCCAGGAUCAAGUCCCACAUCAGGCUCCCUGAAUGGAGCCUGCUUCUCCUUCUGCCUAUGUCUCUGCCUCUCCCUCUGUGUGUCUCUCAUGAAUACAUAAGUAAAAUCUUAAAAAAAAAAAAAAAAAAAAAAAAAAACACUGACCAGUCACCAAAAGCCUUUGAAAAAAGGGACAUGCUAUCCAUCUGUUAUUUCUAUUUUGGCUCGUGGACUGAAGAGCUAUAGCAGCAAAUUUUGUGGCUUAUGCAACUACAGUUAAUGUUCCAGGGUAUAUGAAAUUUGAACCAUGUUGUUGGGGAACUGGUGUUACUUAAUUAAACCAUGGUAUCCAAAAUUCUUGCAAACUGGGCCUGUAUCCUUCUCUCCUCUUCAUGCUUUGACUUUAAAAUCCUAUUUUUAUUAGAUAAUAAUACUCCCAUCCUUGCUUUUGUGACUAUAUUAUAUAGUUACUUGGUCUUUUCUUAUUUGAGCUUUGUCUCACAAAGAAUAACUAGAUUAUUAAUCCAAUCUGAAAGUCUUAGUAGAAUUCUAUUUCAUAUAAUGUAAUCAUUUACAUUUGGUCUUACUCACACCACCUUGUUUUACAUAUAUCUUUGGACUAUCCUUGGGUAACUGUUAGUCUUACUUUAGCCAAACAGGUUUUUAAAAAAUUCUCCCUCCGAUCCUUCUUUAGAUUCAAAUUUCAAGCUCUACUUUCUUUUACUAUUUCAUUAUGUUCACAGUAUAGCUGACCCUUGAACAAAAUGGGUUUGAACCACUUAUGAAAGUGAUUUAUUUUUUUAACCACAUUGUAAAUGUAUUUCUUAAAUUUUAUUUUCUCUAGUUUUAUUGUAAGCAUACAGCACAAGAUACACAUAACAUACAAAAUAUGUACUAAUUAAUUGUACAUAAAUAAUUGUACAUUAAUUGUACAAGCCUUUAACCCCCAUGUAGUUCAGGGGGUCAACUAUGUAAGUCAUUCUUAAAUCUGCAUCUUUAUCAAUAUACCAAAAUUUAAAUAUGCCUUUCCAAGGGAGAAAAACCUUUAUAAAUCUAAAUAGUUCACAUUAUGUACAGGUUAAAAAAUAUUCAGACAUGAAAAGAUAGUAUCAUUAGUCAUCAGCAAAAUGCAAAUCAAAACCACAAGAUACUAACCACUAGAUAGCUAUAAUAAAAAAGACAAUCACACGUCUUAGCAAAGAUACUGACAAAUUAAAAUUCUCAUAUAUUGAUGGUAGGAAUGUUAAAAUGAUGUAUGGCUGAUUUAAUAGUCUGGCAAUUCCUGAAAGGAUUAAACAUUAAGUUAUCACUUGACCCAGGAAUUCCACUCCUACAGAAGUAAAAACAUGUCCAUGCAAAAACUGGUACACACAAAACUUGGUAUUAUCCAUAACAGCCAAAAGUAAAACAACCCAAAUGUCUAUACAUUGAUGAAUGGAUAAAUAAAAUAUGGUAGAUUAAUACAAUGGAAUAUUUGGCAAUAAAAGUAAUGAACUAUAACAUGAUACAAUUCAGAUUAAUCUUGAAAACAUGCCAAAUGAGAAAAGCCAGUCAUUAAAGACCACAUGUUAUACAGUUCCAUUCACAGGAAAUGCUCAGAACAAGCAAAUCGGUUAGUGACUGCCUAUGGUAAAAGAGGAGACAGAACUGGGGAGAAAUGGCAAGUAUCUGCAAAUGGGUACAGGGUUUCUUUCUGGCACAAUGAAAAGGUUUUACAAUUGUGCAAAUGGCUGCACUGCUCUGGUUAUAUGAAGCUGUACUAUAUUGUACUUUAUUAUUUUUUUUUUAAGAUUUUUUAUUUGAGGGCAGCCCUGGUGGCUGAGCAGUUUAGCGCCACCUUCAGCCCAGGGUGUGAGCCUGGAGACCCAGGAUCUAGUCCCACGUGGGCUCCUGCGUGGAGCCUGCUUCUCCCUCUGCCUGUGUCUCUGUGUCUCUCAUGAAUAAAUAAAUAAAAUAUUUUAAAAAUAAAGAUUAUUUGAGAGAGAGAGAGAGCACAUGCACAAGCACAAGCCCCAGGGGAGUGGCAGUGGGACAGGGAGAAGUAGGCUCUCCCCACUGAGCAGGGAGCUGAUGCGGGGCUCUCAAUCCCAGGACCAUGGGAUCAUGACCUGAGCCAAAGGCAGGCUCUUAACUGACUGAGCUACCCAGGUGCCCCUGAAUUUUACACUUAAGUGAAUUGUUUGAGAUAUGCAUUAUAUGUUAAUAAAGCUGUUGAAAAUAUUCUUCAGUGAAUACUACAUCCUACCAAACAAUAAUGAUCCACCAUUUUACCAACUAUAAACAGCUAUUAUUUCAGCCUUUUUAGUUAUAUAUAUAUACACGUACUAAUUUGUAAUUUAGAUGUACGUGCUACAUAGCCAUCCACACUUUUUCAAAUUAAAAUGAACAUCUCUUCAUGGCAAUAAUUCCUAACAGCUACAUACUAUUUCACUAAAUGGCUAUCUCAAAAUUGACUUGUUUAUUGUUGGACUUUCUGUAACAAAUUUUCUAUUAUAAAAUAAUGCAGCCAUAAUAAAUAGAAUACUGCUCAAUCUUUGCACCUUUCUUCAUAACAUAGAAGCAGAACUGCUGGGUCAAAGGAUGUAUGUUCAAAACUAAGGAACCCCUUAAUGAGACUCAAAAAACCAUGGAGGAAGAAAGAAGAAUCCUCCCACAUCCUCAUCAUAAAAGAAAAAAAAAA